AUUGAACGCUGGCGGCAUGCCUUACACAUGCAAGUCGAACGGCAGCACGGGAGCAAUCCUGGUGGCGAGUGGCGAACGGGUGAGUAAUAUAUCGGAACGUGCCCAGUCGUGGGGGAUAACGCAGCGAAAGCUGUGCUAAUACCGCAUACGAUCUAAGGAUGAAAGCGGGGGAUCGCAAGACCUCGCGCGAUUGGAGCGGCCGAUAUCAGAUUAGCUAGUUGGGGGGGUAAAGGCCCACCAAGGCGACGAUCUGUAGCUGGUCUGAGAGGACGACCAGCCACACUGGAACUGAGACACGGUCCAGACUCCUACGGGAGGCAGCAGUGGGGAAUUUUGGACAAUGGGCGCAAGCCUGAUCCAGCAAUGCCGCGUGCAGGAUGAAGGCCUUCGGGUUGUAAACUGCUUUUGUACGGAACGAAACGGCCCUUUCUAAUACAGGGGGCUAAUGACGGUACCGUAAGAAUAAGCACCGGCUAACUACGUGCCAGCAGCCGCAGUAA
rnacentral:rRNA from 1 species